CCUUCGGGUUGUAAAGCACUUUUGUCCGGGAAGAAAUCCCCUGCCCUAAUACGGCGGGGGGAUGACGGUACCGGAAGAAUAAGCACCGGCUAACUACGUGCCAGCAGCCGCGGUAAUACGUAGGGUGCGAGCGUUAAUCGGAAUUACUGGGCGUAAAGCGUGCGCAGGCGGUGAUGUAAGACCGAUGUGAAAUCCCCGGGCUCAACCUGGGAACUGCAUUGGUGACUGCAUUGCUCGAGUAUGGCAGAGGGGGGUGGAAUUCCACGUGUAGCAGUGAAAUGCGUAGAGAUGUGGAGGAACACCGAUGGCGAAGGCAGCCCCCUGGGCCAAUACUGACGCUCAUGCACGAAAGCGUGGGGAGCAAACAGGAUUAGAUACCCUGGUAGUCCACGCCCUAAACGAUGUCAACUGGUUGUCGGGCCUUCAUUGGCUUGGUAACGUAGCUAACGCGUGAAGUUGACCGCCUGGGGAGUACGGUCCCAAGAUUAAACUC
rnacentral:rRNA from 1 species